rnacentral:tRNA from 1 species
GCCCGGCUAGCUCAGUCGGUAGAACAUAGGACUCUUGAUCUCAGGGUCGUGGGUUCGAGCCCCANGUUGGGCG